UGAUGACAAAUUCUCCGGAAUCGCUGAUUCUCUCGGUGAUGAUUCCCGAUUUGAACCCUUUUCCAGCUGAUGGCUGUAAGACAGGAAUAGGCGACUUAUC